AAUACCCUAUUAUUUUAAAAGUAAUUAAUUAAAUCUAAUUAGUAAUAGUUAAGUUCUUGAAAAUUAAAGAAUUUGGCGGUAUUUUAGUCUAUUCAGAGGAAUCUGUCCUAUAAUUGAUAAUCCACGAUUUUUUAUACCUAAAUUGUUAAUUUACAUAUCGCCGUAGUUUGAAUAUUUUUUGAAAAUUAUAAUAUUCAUAAUUUAUUUUUAUAAAAAAAAUCAGGUCAAGGUGUAGUUUAUAUUUAGGAAGAGAUGGGUUACAAUAAAAAUAUUUAUUAUGGAUUAAUUAAUUAAAUUUUUUUAUGAAAGUGGAUUUGAAAGUAAUUUUAUUUA
rnacentral:rRNA from 1 species